UACAUGGGGUGCAAACGUUGCUCGGAAUUAUUGGGCGUAAAGCGCACGUAGGCGGUUUGUUAAGUCGGAUGUGAAAUCCCUCGGCUCAACUGAGGAAGUGCAUCCGAAACUGGCAAGCUUGAGUACGAAAGAGGAUCGCGGAAUUCCCGGUGUAGAGGUGAAAUUCGUAGAUAUCGGGAGGAACACCGGUGGCGAAGGCAGCCUUCUGGGCCAACACUGACGCUCAUGCACGAAAGCGUGGGGAGCAA
rnacentral:rRNA from 1 species